AACGAACGCUGGCGGCAUGCCUAACACAUGCAAGUCGAACGAGACCUCCGGGUCCAGUGGCGCAUGGGUGCGUAACGCGUGGGAACCUGCCCUUAGGUUCGGAAUAACUCUCCGAAAGGGGUGCUAAUACCGGAUAAUGUCUUCGGACCAAAGAUUUAUCGCCCUUGGAUGGGCCCGCGUUGGAUUAGCUAGUUGGUAGGGUAAAAGCCUACCAAGGCGACGAUCCAUAGCUGGUCUGAGAGGAUGAUCAGCCACACUGGGACUGAGACACGGCCCAGACUCCUACGGGAGGGGGCAGUGGGGGAUAUUGGACAAUGGGCGAAAGGCUGAUCCAGCAAUGCCGCGUGAGUGAUGAAGGCCGUAGAGUUGAAAAGCUCUUUUACCCGGGAUGAUAAUGACGGUACCGGGAGAAUAAGCUCCGGCUAACUCCGUG
rnacentral:rRNA from 1 species